GGUCAUGAGCGCCAGCGCGAAGCCCCGGCUCGCUGGCCGGCAACCCUCCCCUCGCGGCGGGGUGCCCCGGGUGACGACCAGGCACGACGUCGACCGGCGUCGGGCAAGCGCGGGGA
rnacentral:ncRNA from 2 species